rfam:Triticum aestivum genome assembly, contig: Triticum_aestivum_CS42_TGACv1_scaffold_404392_5BL
AAAGUACUCCCUCCGUUCCAAAAUUCUUGUCUUAGAUUUUUCUAGAUACGUAUGUAUCAAGUCACGGAUGCAUCCGUAUCUAGACAAAUCUAAGACAAGAAAUUUGGGAUAGAGGGAGUAGCUG